CUUCGAAGAAAGGAAGUGCAAAAGGAGGAUCUCCGAGUUGCAAAACAUGUGGACGCACUCAUAAAGGUGAAUGCUAUUUCAAGAAUAAACCUUGCGUGGCAUGUGGCAAGAUAGGGCAUGGGGUUGCAAAUUGCCCCGACAAAGUAACGGUGUGCUAUAAAUGUUACCAACCGGGUCAUAAAAAGUCAGAAUGUCCGGAAUUGGUGGGAAACAAAGAGAGUGCCGGUUCUAGGGAUGAGACCCCAAAGGCUAAGGCAAGGUCGUUCCAAAUCACUGCUGCGGAAGCAAAAAUGGAACCCGACGUGGUUACAGGCAACACGAGUGAGGCGUCGGGAAGUCAAGCCGGUGCGGACGCUCGCCAAAAGGGAAAGCUCUAAGAUUUCAAGUAAGUCAAUCGAGCGGAUGGUGAUCAAUACAAGACUUAUGAACCGAACACUCUCAAGAAGAUGAUUUUCACUUUUGUUUUAGAAGUUCUUUUUGAAAACUUUGUAAUGAAUGAAUUACACAAUUGUCCUUUAAGUUUAGUGGUUGUUCUCAAACACUUAUGGACUAAAUGUUUUAAAUAAUUAUGAACUUUCUUAUUUAGUCGGUUUAAA